rnacentral:rRNA from 1 species
GACGAACGCUGGCGGCGUGCCUAAUACAUGCAAGUAGAACGCUGAAGGGAGGAGCUUGCUCUUCUUGGAUGAGUUGCGAACGGGUGAGUAACGCGUAGGUAACCUGCCUUGUAGCGGGGGAUAACUAUUGGAAACGAUAGCUAAUACCGCAUAACAAUGGAUGACCCAUGUCAUUUAUUUGAAAGGGGCAAAUGCUCCACUACAAGAUGGACCUGCGUUGUAUUAGCUAGUAGGUGAGGUAACGGCUCACCUAGGCGACGAUACAUAGCCGACCUGAGAGGGUGAUCGGCCACACUGGGACUGAGACACGGCCCAGACUCCUACGGGAGGCAGCAGUAGGGAAUCUUCGGCAAUGGGGGCAACCCUGACCGAGCAACGCCGCGUGAGUGAAGAAGGUUUUCGGAUCGUAAAGCUCUGUUGUAAGUCAAGAACGAGUGUGAGAGUGGAAAGUUCACACUGUGACGGUAGCUUACCAGAAAGGGACGGCUAACUACGUGCCAGCAGCCGCGGUAAUACGUAGGUCCCGAGCGUUGUCCGGAUUUAUUGGGCGUAAAGCGAGCGCAGGCGGUUUGAUAAGUCUGAAGUUAAAGGCUGUGGCUCAACCAUAGUUCGCUUUGGAAACUGUCAAACUUGAGUGCAGAAGGGGAGAGUGGAAUUCCAUGUGUAGCGGUGAAAUGCGUAGAUAUAUGGAGGAACACCGGUGGCGAAAGCGGCUCUCUGGUCUGUAACUGACGCUGAGGCUCGAAAGUGUGGGGAGCGAACAGGAUUAGAUACCCUGGUAGUCCACGCCGUAAACGAUGAGUGCUAGGUGUUGGAUCCUUUCCGGGAUUCAGUGCCGCAGCUAACGCAUUAAGCACUCCGCCUGGGGAGUACGACCGCAAGGUUGAAACUCAAAGGAAUUGACGGGGGCCCGCACAAGCGGUGGAGCAUGUGGUUUAAUUCGAAGCAACGCGAAGAACCUUACCAGGUCUUGACAUCCCGAUGCUAUUUCUAGAGAUAGGAAGUUACUUCGGUACAUCGGUGACAGGUGGUGCAUGGUUGUCGUCAGCUCGUGUCGUGAGAUGUUGGGUUAGGUCCCGCAACGAGCGCAACCCCUAUUGUUAGUUGCCAUCAUUCAGUUGGGCACUCUAGCAAGACUGCCGGUAAUAAACCGGAGGAAGGUGGGGAUGACGUCAAAUCAUCAUGCCCCUUAUGACCUGGGCUACACACGUGCUACAAUGGUUGGUACAACGAGUUGCGAGUCGGUGACGGCGAGCUAAUCUCUUAAAGCCAAUCUCAGUUCGGAUUGUAGGCUGCAACUCGCCUACAUGAAGUCGGAAUCGCUAGUAAUCGCGGAUCAGCACGCCGCGGUGAAUACGUUCCCGGGCCU